rnacentral:rRNA from 1 species
GACGAACCGUGCGAACGUUAUUCGGAAUCACUGGGCUUAAAGGGCGCGUAGGCGGGCUGUCAAGUCUGGGGUGAAAUCCCACGGCUCAACCGUGGAACUGCCUCAGAUACUGACGGCCUCGAGGAAGGUAGGGGCAUGCGGAACUGUAGGUGGAGCGGUGAAAUGCGUUGAUAUCUACAGGAACUCCGGUGGCGAAGGCGGCUCACUGGCUCGUUACUGACGCUCAGGCGCGACAGCGUGGGGAUCAAACAGG